UUAACAGUUCUGGAGACUGAAGUAAUCUGUUUAUCCUCAGAGCGGUUAUAAAAGGAUUAGCAGUUACAAGCAGCUUUGCACCCACACCACUUCCUGCCAGCAUAUCCCAGCCCUGAUUGGGAGGAACCUUUCUAAGGGUAAGAUGGGGUAGUUCAUUCUCCAUGGACCCAUUCAGUCCUUGGUACU
rnacentral:sRNA from 1 species